rfam:Cucumis melo, WGS project CAJI01000000 data, contig: 20715
ACGACCUUACUUGAACAGGAUCUGUUCUAUAGGUUGUACAAUUGUGUCCUUGAGUUCUAAGGAGACAAGAACCUAAGUCCGGUGGAUGAGUUUGUGCCAUGUGACUAGAGCGUGAAUAAUGGCUCAUAGACCCAUGGUCUAGUAGUGGCUGUAGAGGAUUGUUCUCGACAAGUAUGGUCUUGUUGGGAUGGUUGCAAGGUAGUCUGACGGUCU